rnacentral:rRNA from 1 species
GACAGAGGGUGCAAACGUUGCUCGGAAUCACUGGGCGUAAAGGGCGCGUAGGCGGACAAGUAAGUCGGGCGUGAAAUCCCUAGGCUCAACCUAGGAACUGCACUCGAAACUGCAUGUCUUGAGUACCGGAGAGGAAAGCGGAAUACCUGGUGUAGAGGUGAAAUUCGUAGAUAUCAGGUGGAACACCAGUGGCGAAGGCGGCUUUCUGGACGGUAACUGACGCAGAGGCGCGAAAGCGUGGGGAGCAAACAGG